rnacentral:rRNA from 1 species
CCUACGGGAGGCAGCAGUGGGGAAUAUUGCACAAUGGGGGGAACCCUGAUGCAGCAACGCCGCGUGGGUGAAGAAGUACUUCGGUAUGUAAAGCCCUGUCAGCAGGGAAGAAAAUGACGGUACCUGACCAAGAAGCCCCGGCUAACUACGUGCCAGCAGCCGCGGUAAUACGUAGGGGGCACGCGUUAUCCGGAUUUACUGGGGGUAAAGGGAGCGUAGACGGCAAGGCAAGUCUGGAUGGAAAGCCCGUGGCUCAACCGGAGUAAGCCUUUGAAACUGGGGAACUUGAGUGCAGGAGAGGAGAGUGGAAUUCCUAGUGUAGCGGUGAAAUGCGUAGAGAUUAGGAGGAACACCAGUUGCGAAGGCGGCUCUCUGGACUGUAACUGACACUGAGGCACGAAAGCGUGGGGAGCAAACAGGAUUAGAUACCCUUGUAGUC